AGCGAACGCUGGCGGCAGGCUUAACACAUGCAAGUCGAACGGGCACUUCGGUGCUAGUGGCAGACGGGUGAGUAACACGUGGGAACGUACCUUUCGGUUCGGAAUAAUUCAGGGAAACUUGGACUAAUACCGGAUACGCCCUUCGUGGGAAAGAUUUAUCGCCGAUAGAUCGGCCCGCGUCUGAUUAGCUAGUUGGUGAGGUAAUGGCUCACCAAGGCGACGAUCAGUAGCUGGUCUGAGAGGAUGAUCAGCCACAUGGGGACUGAGACACGGCCCAAACUCCUACGGGAGGCAGCAGUGGGGAAUAUUGGACAAUGGGCGCAAGCCUGAUCCAGCCAUGCCGCGUGAGUGAUGAAGGCCUUAGGGUUGUAAAGCUCUUUUGUCCGGGAAGAUAAUGACUGUACCGGAAGAAUAAGCCCCGGCUAACUUCGUGCCAGCAGCCGCCGUAAAAC
rnacentral:rRNA from 1 species